CAGUCUUCAGGACUUCUGCAGCCUCCUGAAUUGGCAAAUACCUUAGAAGGUAUCAUGCCUCACGUCUGUAAUCCCAGCACUUUGGGAGGUCAAGGCAGAUGGAUCACCUGAGAUCGGGAGUUCGAGACCAGCCUGACCAACGUGGAGAAGCCCCUUCUCUACUAAAAAUACAAAAUUAGCCUGGUAUAGUGGUGCAUGCCUGUAAUCCCAGCUACUCAGGAGGUUGAAGAAGGAGAAUCGCUUGAACCCAGGAGGCGGAGGUUGCGGGCCCUGCUCACACAGGAAUUCAUGGCAGAAUGGAGCUGGGAGGCAGAUGGAGCGAUGGAGACCAUAUGCUCAGGAUUCCUCUUCCCCUCCCGUGACAAAGGCUUUGCCCCCGCUUCUGGCUGGAGGGGCCUGCCCUCUCCUUGCUUGGGACACUUGUCAAUCAACACACCUUAAUGACAGAGGAGAGAAGAAUCAAGACCUGGGGAUGGAGCUGGAAGAGGCCGGCCUCGAACAAGGAAUAUCUUGAAAGCCUCUUUUUAUCAUUAAAGUGUGUACGAAUGUUACCUUUUACUCCAUCA